AGUGAACGCUGGCGGUAGGCCUAACACAUGCAAGUCGAACGGCAGCACAAUAAGAGCUUGCUCAUACGGGUGGCGAGUGGCGGACGGGUGAGGAAUACAUAGGAAUCUACUUUUUGGUGGGGGACAACGUAGGGAAACUGACGAUACUACAUAAAACGACUUACGGCUGAAAGCAGGGGAGAUAGAGACAUUGGCAGAUCGAAUGGGUCGAGUUCUGAUUAGUUAGUUAGCGGGGUAAAGGCCCACCAAGGCGACGAUCCUUAGCUGGUCUAAGAGGAGGAUCAGCCACACGGGACCUGGAACACGGUCCAGCCUCCUACGGGAGGCACCAUUGGGGAAUUUUGGACAAUGGGCGAAAGCCUGAUCCAGCCAUACCGCGUAGGUGAAGAAGUCCUUCGGUUUGUAAAGUCUUUUUGUUGGGAAAGAAAUGCAGCAGGUUAAUACCCCGCUGUUCUGACGGUACCCAAAGAAUAAGCACCGGCUAACUUCGUG
rnacentral:rRNA from 1 species